rnacentral:rRNA from 1 species
GAUCCUGGCUCAGGAUGAACGCUAGCGGCAGGCCUAACACAUGCAAGUCGAGGGGUAGUUACUUUCGGGUAAUGAGACCGGCGCACGGGUGCGUAACGCGUAUGCAAUCUACCUUUUACAGGGGAAUAGCCCAGAGAAAUUUGGAUUAAUGCCCCAUAGUAUAGUUUUUUUCGCAUGAAGAGAUUAUUAAAGUACCAACGGUAAAAGAUGAGCAUGCGUCCCAUUAGCUAGAUGGUAAGGUAACGGCUUACCAUGGCGACGAUGGGUAGGGGGUCCUGAGAGGGAGAUCCCCCACACUGGUACUGAGACACGGACCAGACUCCUACGGGAGGCAGCAGUGAGGAAUAUUGGUCAAUGGACGCAAGUCUGAACCAGCCAUGCCGCGUGCAGGAUGACGGUCCUAUGGAUUGUAAACUGCUUUUGUACGAGAAGAAACACUCCUACGUGUAGGAGCUUGACGGUAUCGUAAGAAUAAGGAUCGGCUAACUCCGUG